GAUGAACGCUGGCGGCGUGCCUAAUACAUGCAAGUCGAGCGGACGGACGCGACGCUUGCUUUUCUGAUGUUAGCGGAGGACGGGAGUGUAACACGUGGAUACCCUACCUAUCAGACUGGGAUAAUUUCGGGAAACCGGAGCUUAUACCGGAUAAUAUUUUGAACCGCGUGGUUCAAAAGUGAGAGACGGUCUUGCUGUCACUUCUAGAUGGUUCCGCGCUGCAUUAGCUAGUAGGUAAGGUAAAGGCCUACCAAGGCAACGAGGCAUAGCCGACCGGAGAGGCGGAUCGGCCACACUGGAACUGAGACGCGGACCAGACGCCUACGGGAGGCAGCAGUAGGGAAUCUUCCGCAAUGGGCGAGAGCCUGACGGAGCAACGCCGCGUGAGUGAUGGAGGUCUUCGGUUCGUAAAACUCUGUUAUUAGGUAAGAACAUAUGUGGAAGUAACUGUGCACAUCUUGACGGUACCGAAUCAGAAAGCCACGGCUAACUACGUG
rnacentral:rRNA from 1 species